rnacentral:rRNA from 1 species
CCUACGGGUGGCAGCAGUGAGGAAUAUUGGUCAAUGGGCGCAAGCCUGAACCAGCCAAGUCGCGUGAGGGAAGACGGCCCUAUGGAUUGUAAACCUCUUUUGUCGGGGAGCAAAGCGCGGUACGAGUACCGCGAAGGAGAGUACCCGAAGAAAAAGCAUCGGCUAACUCCGUGCCAGCAGCCGCGGUAAUACGGAGGAUGCGAGCGUUAUCCGGAUUUAUUGGGUUUAAAGGGUGCGUAGGCGGAGGUGCAAGUCAGCGGUAAAAUUGCGGGGCUCAACCCCGUACUGCCGUUGAAACUGGAGCCCUUGAGUGCGCGAGAAGUAUGCGGAAUGCGUGGUGUAGCGGUGAAAUGCAUAGAUAUCACGCAGAACUCCGAUUGCGAAGGCAGCAUACCGGCGCGCAACUGACGCUGAUGCACGAAAGCGUGGGUAUCGAACAGGAUUAGAUACCCGAGUAGUC